rnacentral:rRNA from 1 species
UACAGGGGGUGCAAACGUUGCUCGGAAUCAUUGGGCGUAAAGCGCACGUAGGCGGUUCGUUAUGUCGGAUGUGAAAGCCCUUGGCUUAACCGAGGAAGUGCAUCCGAAACUGGCGAGCUAGAGUACGAAAGAGGAUCGCGGAAUUCCCGGUGUAGAGGUGAAAUUCGUAGAUAUCGAGAAGAACACCGGUGGCGAAGGCGGCCAACUGGACGGUGACUGACACUGAGACGCGAAAGCGUGGGGAGCGAACAGG